GGGGGGGGGGGGGGGGGGGGGGGGGGGGGGGAGGGGGGGGGGGAAGGGGCUGCGGGUGGGGGGGGCUCGAGUGGCGAACGGGUGGGGAACGGGGGAGUAGCCGGCCGUUGGCUUUGGGAUCACUUCAGGAAAGUGGGUGUAAUACCGGAUAGGCGCUUCUGGUGGAUGGUUGGGGUGGGAAUGGUUCGUCGGUUGGGGCUGGACUCGUGGCUUAUCAGCUUGUUGGUGGGGUAGUGGCUUACCAAGGCUUUGACGGGUAGCCGGCCUGAUAGGGUGCCCGGCCACAUUGGGACUGAGAUACGGCCCAAACUCCUACGCGAGCCAGCAGUGGGGAAUAUUGCACAAGGGGCGGAAGCCUGAUGCAGCCACGCCGCGUGCGGGAUGACGGCCUUCGGGUUGUAAACCGCUUUCGCCUGUGACGAAGCGUGAGUGACGGUAAUGGGUAAAGAAGCACCGGCUAACUACGUG
rnacentral:rRNA from 1 species